AGGACGAACGCUGGCGGCGUGCUUAACACAUGCAAGUGGAGCGACGAACCAGGGCUUGCCCUGGGGCAGGGCCGCGAACGGGUGAGUAACACGUGGGUUACCUACCCCGAUGACCGGGACAACCCGAGGAAACUCGGGCUAAUACCGGAUGUGGUCUUCGGACCAAAGGAAGCUUCGGCCUCCGCAUCGGGAUGGGCCCGCGGCGCAUUAGCUUGUUGGUGGGGUAACGCCUACCAAGGCGACGAUGCGUAGCUGGUCUGAGAGGACGAUCAGCCACACUGGGACUGAGACACGGCCCAGACUCCUACGGGAGGCAGCAGUGGGGAAUCUUGCGCAAUGCGCGAAAGCGUGACGCAGCAACGCCGCGUGGGGAAGAAGGCCUUCGGUUGUAAACCUCUUCAGUUGGGACGAAGGCGCGCGGUUAAUAGCCGUGCGGUUGACGGUACUUCAGAAGAAGCCCGCUAACUACGUGCCAGCAGCCGC
rnacentral:rRNA from 1 species